CCUCCUUCGGGAGGGGAUUAGUGAGCGAACGGGUGAGUAACACGUGGGCGAUCUGCCCUUCACUCUGGAACUAGCCCUGGAAACGGGGUCUAAUACCGGAUACGACACGGGGUCGCAUGACCUCCGUGUGGAAAGCUCCGGCGGUGAAGGAUGAGCCCGCGGCCUAUCAGCUUGUUGGUGGGGUGAUGGCCUACCAAGGCGACGACGGGUAGCCGGCCUGAGAGGGCGACCGGCCACACUGGGACUGAGACACGGCCCAGACUCCUACGGGAGGCAGCAGUGGGGAAUAUUGCACAAUGGGCGAAAGCCUGAUGCAGCGACGCCGCGUGAGGGAUGACGGCCUUCGGGUUGUAAACCUCUUUCAGCAGGGAAGAAGCGAGAGUGACGGUACCUGCAGAAGAAGCGCCGGCUAACUACGUGCCAGCAGCCGCGGUAAUACGUAGGGCGCAAGCGUUGUCCGGAAUUAUUGGGCGUAAAGAGCUCGUAGGCGGCUUGUCGCGUCGGAUGUGAAAGCCCGGGGCUUAACCCCGGGUCUGCAUUCGAUACGGGCAGGCUAGAGUUCGGUAGGGGAGAUCGGAAUUCCUGGUGUAGCGGUGAAAUGCGCAGAUAUCAGGAGGAACACCGGUGGCGAAGGCGGAUCUCUGGGCCGAUACUGACGCUGAGGAGCGAAAGCGUGGGGAGCGAACAGGAUUAGAUACCCUGGUAGUCCACGCCGUAAACGUUGGGAACUAGGUGUGGGCGACAUUCCACGUCGUCCGUGCCGCAGCUAACGCAUUAAGUUCCCCGCCUGGGAGUACGGCCGCAAGGCUAAAACUCAAAGGAAUUGACGGGGCCGCACAAGCAGCG
rnacentral:rRNA from 1 species